GAUGAACGCUGGCGGCGUGCCUAAUACAUGCAAGUCGAGCGAACAGACGCGGAGCUUGCUCCUCUGACGUUAGCGUCGGACGGGUGAGUAACACGUGGAUAACCUACCUAUAAGACUGGGAUAACUUCGGGAAACCGGAGCUAAUACCGGAUAAUAUAUUGAACCGCAUGGUUCAAUAGUGAAAGACGGUUUUGCUGUCUCUUAUAGAUGGAUCCGCGCCGCAUUAGCUAGUUGGUAAGGUAACGGCUUACCAAGGCAACGAUGCGUAGCCGACGUGAGAGAGUGAUAGGCGACACGAGAGCGGGACCGGGGUCCAGACGCCUGCGGGAGGCAGCAGUAGGGAAUCGUCCGCAAUGGGCGAAAACCUGGCGGAGCAAGGCCGCGUGAGUGAUAAAGGUCUUCGGAUCGUAAAGCUCUGUUAUGAGGGAAGAACAGAUGUGGAAGGAGCUAUACCCGUCUUGACGGUACCUAGUCAAAAAGCCACGGCUAACUACGUG
rnacentral:rRNA from 1 species